GUACGGCGAGUGAAGCGGCAAGAGCUCAAAUUUGAAAGCUGGCUCCUUCGGGGUCCGCAUUGUAAUUUGCAGAGGAUGCUUCGGGAGCGGUCCCCAUCUAAGUUCCCUGGAACGGGACGUCAUAGAGGGUGAAAAUCCCGUAUGGGAUGGGGUGUCCGCGCCCGUGUGAAGCUCCUUCGACGAGUCGAGUUGUUUGGGAAUGCAGCUCUAAAUGGGUGGUAAAUUUCAUCUAAAGCUAAAUAUUGGCCGGAGACCGAUAGCGCACAAGUAGAGUGAUCGAAAGAUGAAAAGCACUUUGAAAAGAGAGUUAAAAAGCACGUGAAAUUGUUGAAAGGGAAGCGCUUGCGACCAGACUCGCUCGCGGGGUUCAGCCGGCAUUCGUGCCGGUGUACUUCCCCGCGGGCGGGCCAACGUCGGUUUGGGCGGUCGGUCAAAGGCCCUCGGAAGGUAACGCCCCCAGGGGCGUCUUAUAGCCGAGGGGUGCAUGCGACCUGCCUAGACCGAGGAACGCGCUUCGGCUCGGACGUUGGCAUAAUGGUCGUAAGCGACCCGUCUUGAAACACGGACCAAGGAGUCUAACAUCUACGCGAGUGUUCGGG
rnacentral:rRNA from 1 species